GACAGAGGUGCCGAGCGUUAGGCGGAAUUACUGGGCGUAAAGCGUGCGUAGACGGUUAUGUAAGUUAGGUGUGAAAGCCCCGGGCUCAACCUGGGAAUUGCAUUUAAGACUGCAUAGCUAGGGUGCGGAAGAGGGAAGCGGAAUUUCCGGUGUAGCGGUGAAAUGCGUAGAUAUCGGAAGGAACACCAGUGGCGAAAGCGGCUUCCUGGUCCAGCACCGACGUUCAGGCACGAAAGCGUGGGGAGCAAACAGG
rnacentral:rRNA from 1 species